UACGGAGGGUGCAAGCGUUAUCCGGAUUCACUGGGUUUAAAGGGUGCGUAGGCGGUUAGUUAAGUCUGUCGUGAAAUCCCCGGGCUCAACCUGGGAAUGGCGAUGGAUACUGGCUAGCUAGAGUGUGUCAGAGGAUGGUGGAAUUCCCGGUGUAGCGGUGAAAUGCGUAGAGAUCGGGAGGAACAUCAGUGGCGAAGGCGGCCAUCUGGGACAACACUGACGCUGAAGCACGAAGGCGUGGGGAGCAAACAGG
rnacentral:rRNA from 1 species